rnacentral:rRNA from 1 species
AAACUGGGAUUAGAGACCCCACUAUGCUUAGCCCUAAACUCUAAUAGUUAAAACAACAAAACUACUCGCCAGAAUACUACAAGCAACAGCUUAAAACUCAAAGGACUUGGCGGUGCUUCACAUCCCCCUAGAGGAGCCUGUUCUAUAACCGAUAAACCCCGAUCUACCUCACCAUCCCUCGCUCAGCCUAUAUACCGCCAUCUUCAGCAAACCUCAACAAGAGACACAAAGUAAGCACAAACGCCCACGCAAAAACGUUAGGUCAAGGUGUAGCUUAUGAGCUGGAAGAAAUGGGCUACAUUUUCUACCCCAGAAAAGCCUACGAUAGCUCUUAUGAAACCUAAGAGUCCAAGGAGGAUUUAGUAGUAAACUAAGAGCAGAGUGCUUAGUUGAAUCAGGCCAUGAAGCACGCACACACCGCCCGUC